AGUAAUUUUCCCUCACCUCCCUAUUCUUGGAGAUGACACUUGGCAACGUCUAGAGGAAUAUCCAUACUGAGAAUAUGACCACAACUAUCAGGAUCUCAACACCUGGAAUGAAAAUUGGACUGACCAACUCAUCAUCUUUCCUCUUCUUCUAUCCACUAAAGCUUUAUUAACUCCAAAGCAGUAAGGCUCAACAGUGUUCCACUCGCAGGACCCCUUCUAUUAUAUAAGAGCUUUGCCUUCUUUCUCUCCCCUAAGCUUCUUAUAAUAAAACUUCUUUUUCUAAAACUCA